CUUGACGACCAUAGAGCGUUGGAACCACCUGAUCCCAUCCCGAACUCAGUAGUGAAACGAUGCA
rnacentral:rRNA from 1 species